GCUUGAUUUAAUGAGUCCUGGAGAAAUAAACAAGUAUUAGUUAUUACUGUGCGAUUACCAUUUCACCCUUUACUUUCUAAUAACUGGUCAUUUCUGUAGCGUAAAAGAAAGUGAUUGUGUAUCCUCCAUCCCCAGGUGUCCUACCUAUGGGAGGAGAUUCCAUGGCUGCAGCAGUGUCUCAGCCCCUCUCAGUCCUUCUGCUCAUGCACCCUCCAGACACGCCUCAAGAUGCUGCAGGCCAUCUCCCAGCUCCAGGGCAUGCUGGGAACUCGGGACCUGGAUCAGGUUUAUUUUGAGCCAAUCAAAGAUAAUUAUUGCAACGCCCUGCUGGUGUUGCUGAGGGACAUGAACGCAUGUCCCAAGUGGACCCAGCUGUGUAAGCUCCAGCUCCAACACAAGUCCAAUAUCGUCCCCCAAGGAACCCACGGCCUUGGACAUGCUGCUCAUCACCCUCCAUGAGAAGCUGGCCUACCACAGACGGAGCAGGAAGCUCCUCUCCCCAGGCCUGUACCUGGGCUACCUGAAGCUGUGUAGCGCCAUGGACCAGAUCAGAACCCUGGUGCCUCAAAAGCUGCCCAACGUCCUCU
rnacentral:lncRNA from 1 species